rnacentral:tRNA from 1 species
GCAGUGGUGGUUCAGUGGUAGAAUUCUCGCCUCUGUGCGGGAGUCCUGGGUUCGAUUCCCAACUAAUGCA